UAGGGAAUCUUCCACAAUGGACGCAAGUCUGAUGGAGCAACGCCGCGUGAGUGAAGAAGGUCUUCGGAUCGUAAAACUCUGUUGUUAGAGAAGAACACGAGUGAGAGUAACUGUCAUUCGAUGACGGUAUCUAACCAGCAAGUCACGGCUAACUACGUGCCAG
rnacentral:rRNA from 1 species